CGGCAGCACGGGGGCUUGCUCCUGGUGGCGAGUGGCGAACGGGUGAGUAAUGUAUCGGAACGUACCCAGUCGUGGGGGAUAACUCUCCGAAAGGAGAGCUAAUACCGCAUACGUCCUGAGGGGGAAAGCGGGGGACCUGCAAGGGCCUCGCGCGAUUGGAGCGGCCGAUAUCGGAUUAGCUAGUUGGCGGGGUAAAGGCCCACCAAGGCGACGAUCCGUAGCGGGUCUGAGAGGACGACCCGCCACACUGAAACUGAGACACGGUCCAGACUCCUACGGGAGGCAGCAGUGGGGAAUUUUGGACAAUGGGGGCAACCCUGAUCCAGCCAUUCCGCGUGAGUGAAGAAGGCCUUCGGGUUGUAAAGCUCUUUCAGCAGGAGCGAAACGGUCGUUUUUAAUACAGACGGCUAAUGACGGUACCUGCAGAAGAAGCACCGGCUAACUACGUGCCAGCAGCCGCGGUAAUACGUAGGGUGCGAGCGUUAAUCGGAAUUACUGGGCGUAAAGCGUGCGCAGGCGGCGACAUAAGACAGAUGUGAAAUCCCCGGGCUCAACCUGGGAACUGCGUUUGUGACUGUGUUGCUAGAGUGUAGCAGAGGGGGGUGGAAUUCCACGUGUAGCAGUGAAAUGCGUAGAUAUGUGGAGGAACACCGAUGGCGAAGGCAGCCCCCUGGGUUAACACUGACGCUCAUGCACGAAAGCGUGGGGAGCAAACAGGAUUAGAUACC
rnacentral:rRNA from 1 species